UUGUCUUUCUGGACACAAGCAUGGCUGGCUGAGAGAGAUCUCAAACGCGUGUAUGUUAUGCUUUCUCAAAGGGGUUGAAAGUUGUUUUCCCAUCUGUCUGGAGACAAGAAUCAUAAAGAAAUUUCCUUAAGAAUGGACAUAAAACCUCCAGUGCCUCCAUCACAGGACGGCCAAGAGCAGGUACGAGAUAAUUCACGCCUCCGGGAGGAAGGAAACUCACAGGUACUCCAUCCAACCCACGCACCAACUCUAGAAACAGGUUCCUACAGCCUGCCUGUGCACCUUAUGAAGCAUUCCUCUGAAUUAAAAUGUUUAUAAGGACAUGGUGAUAAAUUUGCACUGAUUUACAUGUGAUACUGAUUUUUGUGAAUGUGGGUUAGAUUACGGGUGUGCUAUAAGGUCAAAGGUCAGAGAAGCUUUAGCUGGAUCACACCUAUUUUCUGACUUCAUCAAGGCCUUACCUCCUCACAGAAGGAAACAUUUAAAAACACAUAAAGACCAAGGAGGCACUGACUUAAUCAAAGGCUCUUGUUCUUUCUGAAAAAGACUCACAGAAACCCAGUCAAA